AUGGCUGGAAUCAGGUUUGCUUGUUACAAACCCUUGUGGAAAUCCAAAGCGCCCCCGCGUUGCAAAUUCUUCAUGUGGCUUGUCAUACAUAGGAAGUGCCUUACGGCAGAUAACCUUCAGAAAAGAGAGAGCUGCACGCACCUUUUUACCCACUGCAGAUUUACCCAGCAGCUUUGGACCCUCUUCAAACAAUGGUCUUCGGUGAAUUUUCCCAUCCCGGACAGCAGUUUUGACAGCACGGAAGACUGGUGGCAGGCGGCAAGGAGGACAAUCCCCAAGCAAACGCGACGGAACUUUGACACCAUUGUCAUUCUCAUUCAUUGGAGGAUCUGGAAGGAGCGGAACGCGAGAAUUUUUCAGCACACCGCUUGUAAUAUAGAGAGGGUCCUGGAUCUUAUCGGAGAAGACAUUGGAGUGUGGAGAUCAGCCGGAUGUGUGACUGAUUUAGUGGAUUAG
rnacentral:rRNA from 1 species